rnacentral:lncRNA from 1 species
CAGGAACUGACUGCUGAGAGCCGUGGGACAGACAACACCCUACUCAGUUUUUGCACAUUCAAGCAAAAUGCUAUGUCCUUCCUGGAUGGACCAAGUCCCAUUUUUGCAGGCCAAGAGCUCCACAAAGCAGUAAAUCCCACAGAAAUUACACAAGGUUAUAAAAGAUACAUUUGUCCAGAACACUGGAGGAUGGUCUCAGUCUCUUCAAAUCCUUCAUUAUUCUUCACGGACUAUCUUGUGACAAUGGAGCAAAGUAAGCCUUGCUGUGCCAUGCUCUUCUCCUGAGAGUUGUCCGUUGCCUACACUGUGCAUGAAGGAAUCAUUGUAACAGGACAAUGGUCAAGAGGUCUUGCUCUGAUGCCC